CUGGCUACUUAUUAGAUAUGUACCUCAUUAUCAACGCAUGCUGAGAAGCAUAUUCAGAGUUGAGCUUGAGCUGAACUUCUGGACUAAGCCCUUAGCUUUCCUUUGUGCAGAGCUGGGGGAAGCUGUAGUGGAAGCCCAGACAGCCUUCUGCAGGCAUGGAUGUAGUGACUUACCUUGGCCUGGGGUACCUGAGUCAGUACUGUGAGGCCUCAGCAAUGACUGUCUUCAAAAGCUGGUGUUUUGGCAGGGGUCGGUGGCAGGGGGCAGGGGGAACAUUUUUCUUCCUAUUGUUGCCCUAUUAACAGUUCCAUAUCCUUAGCCUACCAUAAAAAUCGAGGGACCCUAUCAAGCUUAUGAAAUGCUGGAAAUGAUGCAUCACAGUAUCUAGGACUGAUUGAUACUGCUUGGGUCUGUCAUUUUUCACUUUGUUCCAAUGUAAACACCAUUUGUAGAGGUGCAAAAUGCAGCCCCUUACAGAGUUAUGUGUUAAAGAAUAGAAUCAUAAACAUGGGAGUAAAUUCAUUUAAAAACAAAAACAUUCACAUUUGAGAAAACUUU
rnacentral:lncRNA from 1 species